rnacentral:misc_RNA from 1 species
GAAAAAAAAAAGAAAAAAGAAAUUUGGAUAUUAUUGUGGUGCAUACUGUAGCAAUUAGGCAAGAUGUGAUGAAAAAUCAUAAUUUUUGCGGUGAUAAUCUAUCCUGAGGAGCCAAAUUCACUGAUUGGUUGUCGGUCCCCUUGAGAUUCAUGAUGGAUGUAUGAAAUGGACCUGCCACUGUACUUCUGGAUAUCAAUUAUCCUUUAUAUUAUAUUCCUAAAUUAACCUCUUCUGUUUGUUAUUGGUGGCUCAAAUUUCUUAAGAAAUGGAC